rnacentral:ncRNA from 1 species
GAUGUCGAAUUCCAGAGCCUUCGUAUAAUGCCGGGGAUAUGGCCCUGCAGUUUCUACCAGACGACCGUAAAUCGUUGGACUACGAGGAAGAGCAGAAAUGUC